UGUAAUUUGGAGCAAAAGAAUAGCAUCUCUCAAGACAGCUGAGUAUUCAUCUUGUUCCUGAACAGUUUUCUUUCAGUUUCAUGUCAGACUGCUGUUUUACUCUGCAGCCUCUAUUAGACUGACCCCCGUAUUGCAUAGAAAUGGCUUAAAAUUCUCAACUGACAGAACCUGUAAAUGGCCAGGUAUGUAUAUUUUUCCUUAUUGUAGCCACAGCAAAAAUGUCUGAAACCUAAAAUUUAUUUUAACAGAAAACUCUGAAACCUAUCUCAAAUUGUUGUUGU
rnacentral:lncRNA from 1 species